UCCCGGUUGGCCCGGGCAGUCUCGUCUGAAAAAUCCAACAGACGAUAAGGGUUUCGCUCGUUGCGGGACUUAACCCAACAUCUCACGACACGAGCUGAGGACGGCCAUGCAACACCUGUCACCUGGUUCCCGAAGGCACUCCGCUAUUUCUAGCAGAUCCCAGGGAUGUCAAGCCUCGGUAAGGUUCUUCGCGUAGCUUCGAAUUAAACCACAUGCUCCACCGCUUGUGCGGGUCCCCGUCAAUUCCUUUGAGUUUUAAGCUUGCGCUCGUACUCCCCAGGCGGCAUGCUUAACGCGUUAGCUUCUCAGCACAGAGGGUCGAUACUCCAUACUAAUAGCAUGCAUCGUUUACGGCGUGGACUAC
rnacentral:misc_RNA from 1 species